UGGUGGAGUGAUUUGUCUGGUUAAUUCCGUUAACGAACGAGACCUCCGCGUGCUAAAUAGUUCCGUUUACAAUUUUUGUAGGCGUGGACUUCUUAGAGGGACUUUUGGGUAAUCAAACCAAAGGAAGUUGGAGGCAAUAACA
rnacentral:rRNA from 1 species